AUGCUCGCGAGUCCCACCACGCUCCACCAUCUCCUCCUCCCGGCGCCGCCGCAUCUCGCCUUCGCUCUCCCGCACGCCGCGCCGCCGCUCCACGCGUGGCUUCCUCUCUCCCGCGUGGCGCCGCCGCGCGUCGCGGCACUCACGCAUGGCUCCUCGUGCCGAAUGCGACGGAGGGGUACGAGGGCUAAAGUUGUGGCUGCCGGAGGAGACGAGGCGAGCAGCUCCGGCCCGACCAAGUUCUCCGUGAAAAUUCCCGUCGGCGACCGCCACAUAUUAGUGGAAACAGGACACAUUGGGAGGCAAGCCAGUGCUUCUGUAAUGGUCACAGAUGGCGAAACAAUCGUCUACUGUUCUGUUUGUAUGGCUGAUACUCCAAGCGAUCCUUCUGAUUUUUUCCCAAUGUCGGUUCACUAUCAGGAGCGCCUUUCAGCUGCUGGAAGAACUAGUGGUGGUUUUUUUAAACGAGAAGGAAGGGCAAAAGACCACGAGGUUUUAGUAUGUAGAUUGAUAGACAGGCCUCUACGCCCUACUAUGCCCAAGGGGUUCUACUACGAAACUCAGAUUCUAUCCUGGGUUUUCAGUUAUGAUGGUAUCCAUUCCCCAGAUUGCGUGGCUGUGACAGCUGCUGGUAUCGCCAUGGCACUCUCUGAAGUUCCAAAUAAACAAACAAUUGCUGGCGUAAGAAUCGGUAUGAUUAAUGAUCAGUUUGUUGUUAACCCAACCACUGAACAAAUGGAGGACUCGGAAUUGGAUUUGAUGAUGGCUGGGACCGAUAGUGCUAUAUUGAUGAUAGAGGGAUUCUGUGACUUCCUCACAGAGGAAAAGCUGCUUCAAGCUGUUGAAACAGGACAGGUGGCGAUUCGAGAAAUCUGCAAGGCAAUCGAUGUUCUUGUCCAGACUUGUGGGAAGAAGAAAAUGGUUGAGGCUAUCAAUUUACCACCUGCUGAACUCUACAGGCAUGUUGAAGAUAUUUCUGGAGAUGAGUUGGUGAAGGCAUUGCAAAUAAAAGAAAAAAUUCCCCGUAGAAAAGCUCUUUCAGCAUUGGAGGAGAAAGUAAUAAUGAUACUUUCAGAGCAGGGUUACGUGUCCAAAGAUGAGUUAUCUGGACCCAUUGAAAAUUUAGCUGAUAUUGUCGAGGAGGAAGAUGAGGACGAAGUUAUAGAGGAUGGUGAAGUGGAUGAAGGUGACGUUCACAUCAAGCCAGUGUCGAGAAAGCCCCACCGUCAGUUAUUCUCAGAAGUUGAUGUCAAGUUAGUCUUCAAGGAAGUUUCAUCCAAAUAUCUGCGAAGGCGGAUUGUAGAGGGUGAAAAGCGAAGCGAUGGACGGAGUGCCUGUGAGCUUCGCCCCAUUAAUUCUCAAUGUGGAAUACUCCCACGGGCACAUGGUAGUGCACUGUUCACAAGGGGAGAAACACAGGCACUGGCUGUGGUCACUUUAGGUGACUAUCAGAUGGCACAAAGAAUUGACACUCUUGUUGACACCGAGGAAUCAAAGAGUUUCUAUCUUCAGUACACGUUCCCUCCAUCAUCUGUUGGUGAAGUUGGUCGAACCGGAGCACCUAAUAGGAGAGAGAUAGGUCAUGGUAUGCUUGCAGAAAGGGCGCUGGAACCGGUUUUACCUGCAGAGGUGGAUUUUCCGUACACUAUUCGUGUUGAGAGUACUAUCACUGAAAGUAACGGCUCAUCCAGCAUGGCUUCUGUCUGUGGAGGUUGUUUAGCACUUCAAGAUGCUGGUGUUCCAAUAAAGUUCCCUGUAGCUGGAAUAGCAAUGGGCUUAGUUCUUGACACUCAGGAAUUCGGUGGAGACGGCACACCACUUAUUCUUUCUGAUAUUACUGGAUCUGAAGAUGCCUCUGGUGACAUGGAUUUGAAGGUUGCUGGUAAUGAACAUGGUAUAUCUGCUUUCCAAAUGGACAUCAAGGUAGUGGGGAUAACUCUACCUGUAAUGGAACAAGCACUUCUACAAGCUAGAGAUGGUAGAAAGCACAUUCUAAAUGAAAUGUUAAAAUGUUCGCCUCCGCCAUGUAAAGCACUGUCUCCCCAUGCUCCUGUUAUUCAUGUUAUGAAGGUUAAACCUAACAAGGUGAAUUUGAUAAUUGGUUCUGGCGGAAGGACAAUAAAAAGCAUACUCGAGGAGACUGGAGUAUAUGCCAUUGAUGCUCGAGAUGAUGGCACGGUAAAAAUUACUGCAAGGGGCAUGGAAAGCUUAGAGAAGUCGAAAAAUAUAAUAACUAAUCUUACCAUGGUUCCAAAAGUUGGAGAAAUUUUCAGGAACUGUGAGAUCAAAACAAUUGCUCCCUAUGGAGCUUUUGUUGAAAUUGCACCAGGGCGUGAGGGUUUAUGUCAUAUCAGCGAGUUAAGUUCAAGUUGGUUGGCCAAGGCUGAGGAUGCUUAUAAAGUUGGUGAUCGCAUUGAUGUCAAGCUUAUUGAGAUAAAUGACAAGGGUCAACUUCGACUAAGUUGCAAAGCGUUGCUUCCUGAUGCAAACCAAGAACCUGGCAGCAUCAAGCAGCAAACGAGCAGUUCAGUGAAAGAAAAGGUAGUAUACAAAGAUGAUAUCAUUAAGAUGACAACUAGAAGGUCCAGACGUAAGAAAGAAGUUGAGCCGUCUGCAGCUGAAAAUGCCACACCAAAGACCCUUGAAAACAGCACAGCUGACAGUCCUUAA
rnacentral:rRNA from 1 species